GUCGCUCCAUCCCCGGGAUCUUUUCCGGGGACGGGGCGCGGCCGCCGGGGGGCGAUCCCGCCCCCGGGCCCGUGCCCGCCGGGGACACCAACACUGAACACUGUCUGAAGGUUGCAGUCUGAGUUUUCAUAAAAGAAAAAUCGUUAAAACUUUCAACAACGGAUCUCUUGGUUCCGGCAUCGAUGAAGAACGCAGCGAAAUGCGAUACGUAAUGUGAAUUGCAGAAUUCAGUGAAUCAUCGAGUCUUUGAACGCACAUUGCGCCCUCUGGUAUUCCGGGGGGCAUGCCUGUCCGAGCGUCAUUGCUGCCCUCAAGCACGGCUUGUGUGUUGGGCCCCCGUCCCGGUUAAACAUUAGCCCCGGGACGGGCCCGAAAGGCAGCGGCGGCACCGUGUCCGGUCCUCGAGCGUAUGGGGCUCUGUCACCCGCUCGUGUAGGUCCGGCCGGCGGCCAGCCCGACUUUUCAACCAAUCUUUUUUGGAUUUUAACCAGGUUACCUCGGAUCAGGUG
rnacentral:rRNA from 1 species